AUGGACAAACACACGACAAAAGGAACUGCCCUAUGCUUCAAAAAUCCUCUUCAAAUGUUGACAAAGAUGCUUUUAAUGGCAUGGAUAAUAGUUCUUCGUCACAGGAUGAUGAGUUUUUUGGAUGAUGUUUCGAACUCCAGUGAUUCCACCUAUUUCUUAGGUUGUAGAGUUGCACUGACAUACUUGAAGAAAAGACUAUGUUUGCCCAAUUAAGCUUCCUGCAGCUAGCCUCCUAAUGGAAAGAUUGUGUUUGUACUUUUUGUUUUCAUUAGAAUGCCUUUUGAUGCGCAGUGUAUU